rnacentral:rRNA from 1 species
GACGGAGGGGGCUAGCGUUGUUCGGAAUUACUGGGCGUAAAGCGUGCGUAGGCGGCCUUUCAAGUUGGGUGUGAAAGCCCGGGGCUCAACCCCGGAAAUGCGCCCAAGACUGUUUGGCUCGAGACCCGGAGAGGUGAGUGGAACUCCCAGUGUAGAGGUGAAAUUCGUAGAUAUUGGGAAGAACACCAGUGGCGGAAGGCGGC